rnacentral:rRNA from 1 species
UACAGAGGUCCCAAGCGUUGUUCGGAUUCACUGGGCGUAAAGGGUGCGUAGGUGGCUUGGUAAGCGUGUGGUGAAAGCCUGGGGCUCAACCCCAGGUCUGCCGUGCGAACUGCCAAGCUUGAGCAUAGUAGAGGCAGGUGGAAUUUCGGGUGUAGCGGUGGAAUGCGUAGAUAUCCGAAAGAACACCGGUGGCGAAGGCGGCCUGCUGGGCUAUUGCUGACACUGAGGCGCGACAGCGUGGGGAGCAAACAGG